rnacentral:rRNA from 1 species
UACAUGGGGUGCAAACGUUGCUCGGAAUUAUUGGGCGUAAAGCGCACGUAGGCGGUUCGUUAAGUCGGAUGUGAAAGCCCUCGGCUCAACUGAGGAAGUGCACCCGAAACUGGCGAGCUUGAGUACGAAAGAGGAUCGCGGAAUUCCCGGUGUAGAGGUGAAAUUCGUAGAUAUUGGGAAGAACACCGGUGGCGAAGGCGGCUCACUGGCUCGUAACUGACGUUCAUGCACGACAGCGUGGGGAUCAAACAGG